GGAAAAACUUACGUACCCUUGACAUGUCCUGGAAUUCCGCAGAGAUGUGGAAGUGCUCGAAAGUGUACCAGAACUCAGUGCUGCAAGGCGGUCGUCAGCUUGUGUCGUGAGAUGUUGAGUUAAGUCCCGCAACGAGCGCAACCCUUGUCAUUAGUUGCUACGAAAGGGCACUAUCAUGAGACUGCCGGUGACAAACCGGAGGAAGGUGGGGAUGACGUCAAGUCCUCAUGGCCAUCAUGGGUAGGGCUUCACACGUCAUACAAUGGUCGGUACAGAGGGUUGCCAAGCCGCGAGGUGGAGCCAAUCCCAGAAAGCCGAUCGUAGUCCGGAUCGCAGUCUGCAACUCGACUGCGUGAAGUCGGAAUCGCUAGUAAUCGCGGAUCAGCAUGUCGCGGUGAAUACGUUCCCGGGUCUUGUACACACCGCCCGUCACACCAUGGGAGCGGGUUCCGCCAGAAGUAGGUAGCCUAACCGCAAGGAGGGCGCUUACCACGGCGGGGUUCGUGACUGGGGUGAAGUCGUAACAAGGUAGCCGUAGGGGAACCUGCGGCUGGAACACCUCCUUCUAGACUGCAGAAAAUCCCGCGGCCCUUUCAGAGG
rnacentral:rRNA from 1 species